CGAACGGGUGAGUAACACGUGGGCAACCUGCCCAAAAGAGGGGGAUAACACUUGGAAACAGGUGCUAAUACCGCAUAACCAUAGUUACCGCAUGGUAACUAUGUAAAAGGUGGCUAUACUACCGCUUUUGGAUGGGCCCGGGGCGCAUUAGCUAGUUGGUAGGGUAAAGGCUUACCAAGGCAAUGAUGCGUAGCCGAAUUGAGAGGUUGAUCGGCCACAUUGGGACUGAGACACGGCCCAAACUCCUACGGGAGGCAGCAGUAGGGAAUCUUCCACAAUGGGCGAAAGCCUGAUGGAGCAACGCCGCGUGGGUGAAGAAGGUCUUCGGAUCGUAAAACCCUGUUGUUAGGGAAGAAAGUGCGUGAGAGUAACUGUUCACGUUUCGACGGUAUCUAACCAGAAAGCCACGGCUAACUACGUGCCAUCAGCCGCGGUAAUACAUAGGUGGCAAGCGUUAUCCGGAUUUAUUGGGCGUAAAGGGAACGCAGGCGGUCUUUUAAUUCUGAUGUGAAAGCCUU
rnacentral:rRNA from 1 species